rnacentral:tRNA from 2 species
ACUACUUUGGCAGAAAAGUGCAAUGAAUUUAGAUUUCAUGAAUGUAUAUUAAUACAUGUAGUA